rnacentral:rRNA from 1 species
GAUGAACGCUGGCGGCGUGCCUAAUACAUGCAAGUCGAGCGAACAGACUAGGAGCUUGCUCCUUUGACGUUAGCGGCGGACGGGUGAGUAACACGUGGAUAACCUACCUAUAAGACUUGGAUAACUUCGGGAAACCGGAGCUAAUACCGGAUAACAUGUUGAACCGCAUGGUUCAACAGUGAAAGACGGUCUUGCUGUCACUUAUAGAUGGAUCCGCGCCGCAUUAGCUAGUUGGUAAGGUAACGGCUUACCAAGGCAACGAUGCGUAGCCGACCUGAGAGGGUGAUCGGCCACACUGGAACUGAGACACGGUCCAGACUCCUACGGGAGGCAGCAGUAGGGAAUCUUCCGCAAUGGGCGAAAGCCUGACGGAGCAACGCCGCGUGAGUGAAGAAGGUCUUCGGAUCGUAAAACUCUGUUAUUAGGGAAGAACAAAUGUGUAAGUAACUAUGCACGUCUUGACGGUACCUAAUCAGAAAGACACGGCUAACUACGUG